GCCUUCGUGGUGUAGUGGCCAGCACAUUCGGCGCGUAUUCGAGAGGUCCGUGGUUCGAGUCCCGGCGAGGGCA
rfam:Stegodyphus mimosarum contig52444, whole genome shotgun sequence.